AUACGGCCCAGACUCCUACGGGAGGCAGCAGUGGGGAAUAUUGCACAAUGGGCGCAAGCCUGAUGCAGCGACGCCGCGUGGGGGAUGACGGCCUUCGGGUUGUAAACCUCUUUCAGUAGGGACGAAGCGCAAGUGACGGUACCUACAGAAGAAGCACCGGCCAACUACGUGCCAGCAGCCGCGGUAAUACGUAGGGUGCGAGCGUUGUCCGGAAUUACUGGGCGUAAAGAGCUCGUAGGUGGUUUGUCGCGUUGUUCGUGAAAUCUCACGGCUUAACUGUGAGCGUGCGGGCGAUACGGGCAGAC
rnacentral:rRNA from 1 species